AUUGAACGCUGGCGGCAUGCCUUACACAUGCAAGUCGAACGGUAACAGGUCUUCGGAUGCUGACGAGUGGCGCACGGGUGAGUAAUACUUCGGAACGUGCCCAGACGUGGGGGAUAACGAGGCGAAAGCUUUGCUAAUACCGCAUACGAUCUAAGGAUGAAAGCAGGGGACCGCAAGGCCUUGCGCGUUUGGAGCGGCCGAUGGCAGAUUAGGUAGUUGGUGGGAUAAAAGCUUACCAAGCCGACGAUCUGUAGCUGGUCUGAGAGGACGACCAGCCACACUGGGACUGAGACACGGCCCAGACUCCUACGGGAGGCAGCAGUGGGGAAUUUUGGACAAUGGGCGAAAGCCUGAUCCAGCAAUGCCGCGUGCAGGAUGAAGGCCUUCGGGUUGUAAACUGCUUUUGUACGGAACGAAAAGGCUCUGGCUAAUACCUGGGGCACAUGACGGUACCGUAAGAAUAAGCACCGGCUAACUACGUG
rnacentral:rRNA from 1 species